AGGCAGAGACCCAGGCAGAGGGAGAAGCAGGCUCCCUGCAGGGAGGCCUGACGUGGGACUCGAACCCAGGCCCCCGGGGCCACAACCUGGGCCGGAGGCAGACGCUCGCCCGACGGAGCCCGCAGGAGCCCCCGAGGGAGGCUUCCUUGAGACACACCCAGCUGCCCCCUUGCAUCAGCAGGAACCGCAUGUGCCCUAGAGUGUGAAUGAGAAGGAGACGCGGAGGCAGCGCCAACCCCACGGAGACCGCGAGCCUCCCGCACGGACCAACAGGCGCCGAAACCUUCCCACGAGUGAGUCUGGCCCCCUUUGUUGGGCUCAGACCUUUUUGUGCAUCUCAGACAGUUGGGUCUACGGAUGCGAAAGAUGCACACGCGGAUGUCGUGCGCUACCGUUUUCGCCCGGUGAUCUUCCCAGCGGUCACAAUGUUAAAGAAAAUCCGAUUAUUCAAAAAAAUAUGUGAUUAUUAUUGCCCAGAAGGUUGAAGGACUUCCCCCAAAGGAACCAGUGGAGAACGAAGAGUCUAAACGUCCUCCAAGCAGGUCCCAGGACGGAAGGCCGCGUGCCGCAGCCCGUCCAGGUAAAGUUCUGGAAGGGCAGGUGUGAGAGCGCCCGUCCCCUCUUCGGCGCAGGGAGGGAAGCGGGAGUCAUAGGGCGAAGGAGGGCUGAGGUCGCACAUCCCACUUGUGAUAACGGGACCGGGAAGGGAGCAGACCCGAGCGCGCGAUGAAAAUGGUCUAGAAAGAGCCUGAGCGGCCGAGUAGCCUAGACCGAGUGGGUGAGGACGGGGGAGCCGGGGGGAGCCUGGAUCCCUGAGGCUGUCCCUGCGGCAGGGAGCGCAGCCCCUGGAUCCCCGAGGGGGGGGGCGCACCUCAUUGCAGUCACCUGCAGGCACCUGCUGCUGCCGCCACACCCCUCGGCUGGGGGCGCCCCGAAGCGCUUGGCCACCAGCCCUCGGUGAGGACCUGGGAGCUCCGCUCCGUGGCUCCUGGCGUAGUCGCGGCCCGUGUGGACCCACCGUGACUGUCGCUGCGCACGAGGCGGUCAGGGGAUGCAGGCGGCCGGUCCCCAGCCCCCCGUGUGCACCGAGGACAUCGGGGCAUGUGGGGCAGGGCCAGGGCAGGCCAUGUGUGGCUUCGGGGGUCCUCGUUGGCCCUGGUGCCUGGAC